rnacentral:lncRNA from 1 species
AAAAAUUUUCCCAUUGCUGGUUUUCCCAUUUUCUUUUUGACCUUCCCACCUACCAGUCUUUGUUCCCCCAUCCUUGACCCUCUUCUCCAUGUGGAUACCGUUGAUACACUUUUAGGUUUGAAUAUCACCUUCCUUUUAGAAUGUUCCAUACCUUUAAGCAUUUGAUAAAAGCUAUGGUGGUUUCCCCAGAAAAAUGUUCAACAGGAAGUUUUGCCUACAUUUUUGGAUUCACAGACCUCAGUUCCUAUGGCAGUGUUCAUAUACGUAAGUUCAGCUGUUACGUGUUUACAACUCAAAUCCAAUGGCUACCAGUUUUCCCACUGGACCUCUCUGGAUUUAGCAAUCUCUAAAAUUGUAUUCACUUGAUUCUUAAAAAAAUAAAAAAGCUUAAAUGCAGAUAGGAUGUCACCCUGUUUAAAAUUUCUAGUGGCUGCUCUGGUCAUCAGUUUAAUAAAAAUUCCUUAGCAUGACCAAGAAGGCUCUUCACUACUUAAAAAUAAAGGCUGGGCACGUGGCUCAUGCCUGUAAUCCCAGCACUCUGGGAGGCCAAGGCAGUAGGAUCACUUGAGCCCAGGAAUUCGAAACCAGCCUGGACUACGUAGUGAGACUCCAUUUCUACUAAAAAAAUUAAUGGCUCAUCAUAAUCUAUUCAAAACUACUGAGUUUUAACCAUAAGAAGUCAAUUUUUGAAAACACAAAAGUAUUUUAAGCCUUUACAUUUGCUGUUCAUUUUCCAAAGAUACCCUUCCCAUCAGUAUGGACUCCACUCCUGGUUAUCCUCCAAGACUCAAAUGUCACCACUUUUGUAGAAUCUUCCUUAGCCACCUUCCAGUAGUUUGGUGUGCUUAUUUCUAUCCUAACAAUCAAUUUGGGGGUAUCUUUUAAAAUUGCAGAAAUUGUAUGGAAUUAGAGGAAACAAAGCCACGUUCAAAUUCUUAUAAAAAUUUUAAAGUGAGUGGCUUAAUUUCAUCUGUAAAGUGGGGACACCAUCUACCAUGUAGUUAUUAGAUGUGAAUACCAGAGAAAAUACAUGUAGAAAGUGCUAGUGCCUGCCACAUACUAUGUGCUCAAUAAAACUCAGUGUUUUAUAUGCCUAUCUCCAAUAAAUGGCAGAAAAGACUAACCUGUCUCAGAGUGCCUGGCUCAUAGCAAGUACCAUGUUCAUGUUUCAAAAAACAGAUGAAAGACAACAAGAAAGUCACAUUCUAAAGCUUUUCAAGAAAUAAAGAAGUACAAACAAAGUUUCUUCAUCAUUCUAUUUAUUACAUGUAUGAAUAUUAACAUCUCAUGGUGUCCAUCUAAGUCAAAACCAACAAAAGAAAAAAGUUAACCAUAUCUCAAGCAAACAUUCUUACAGAUUCCCGUUACUUAAAAUAGAAAUAUGUUCAUCUGCAUUAAAUCAUUUGACAAUUUGAAAAAGUCUUUAAAAAAAAAAUCACCUUUAGUACUUAAAUAUAUUUGUUAAUUGUUUGAUGGCAUCAGUGUCCAAGUUCAAGAAUAAAACUUUGCAUCAUUA